GCGGGAAUAGCUCAGUUGGUAGAGGAUCAGCCUUCCAAGCUGAGGGUCGCGGGUUCGAGUCCCGUCUCCCGCU
rnacentral:tRNA from 1 species